GCCAGGUGAGGGGCUGCACACCUGUAAUCCCAGCAGCUCAGGAGGCUGAGGCAGGAGGAUGGCCAGUUCAGGGCCAGCCUCAGCAACUU
rnacentral:sRNA from 1 species